CCUCUCUCCUGCUCACAUCGCUGCCUGAGUCAGCCCCACAGCAACAGCAGCGGCAGCGGCAGCAGCAGCGCGGAGGCACCUGUGAGCUGUGAGGUGCCAGCUCAUGGUGGAGCCUGCCCUUCUCUCCACCGCCCAGAUGGGGAGGCUGGCCCCCGUGUCCCUGGCCUCACCGUGUCCCAGGAUCCCACGGGCUCACAUCGCCAGGCGGCCGGGGCGCUGUGCCCAGUGCCGGACUGACCUGGGCUGCAGCUCUGGCCCCUUGUCCCGCCCAGUGAGUCAGCUCCCGCAGAAGAACCCGCUGCGAGCAUGCCCUGCCGAGCGCUCCCACUCCCGGGUGUCCUCGGCCGAGAGCUUGUCCCUGGAUGGCUUUUGGAUGGAGGUGGAGUGGAUCCAACAGAGGGAUGAGCUGAGAGAAGAGGAUGGCAGCGGGGGCGAAGGCCGGCCCCCAGAGGAAGGAGAAACUGAAUCCCAGUGGCUACAGGACACAGGCCUGUCGGACCUCCUUGGUGGCCUGGGCUUGGACAGUCAUCACCGGGGGCUCCUGUCCACCCUCACACAGACCCAGGUGGCCGCUGUGCGCCGCCGGCUGGACAUCUACGCCCGCUCGGCACGAAGACGCCCCAAGGCACCUGUUAGAGAUGUCAGGGACAUCUUUGGGGGCUUCAAGGCAGGGGAAAUGCCUUCAGAAAAUGGGGAUUCAGGUAUGAAAUGGACCCCGCUCAGUUCCGGGAGCCCUAAGUCUCCUCCAGCAGCAGAGCCUGAGGGGCCGCCGGCACCGGCUGGGAUGGAGCACGCCUUCCACAUGGACUCCGCCUACUCGGAACAGGCCGCACUGCUGCUGCAGAGGGGCAGGCAGCCCCCGGGGGGCACCUGUGCCUGGAGCAAGGGGUCCCUGCCGAAGUUUAGGAUCCCCAAGGGCAGACUUGGCUUGACGAGGAUUGGAGACCUGUCCUCGCAGGACCUGAAGAAGAUCGCCGCUCUGGCCCUCAUCGAGCUGACUGCGCUCUGCGACGUCCUGGGCUUGGACCUGAAGAGGAGCAAGGCGGGGAAGCAGAAGGCAACAGGAGAUGUUGCAGGCUGGAGCCCAGCUGUCAUUCCAGGAAGUGAAACACCGCUUCUACUCUUUGGACUUCCCGCAGAAACUCGCCUUUUUGGGGUGUCCCUCGAAGCCCUGCUGGAAGCUGACCGCAAAGCCCUCCCCAGCACCCAGGUGCCGCUGGUACUUCAAGCUCUGCUGUCCUGUUUGGAAAAGAGGGGGCUGGACAUGGAAGGCAUUCUCAGAGUGCCUGGAUCGCAGGCCAGAGUCAAGGGGCUGGAACAAAAGCUGGAGAGAGAUUUCUACACUGGCCUGUUUAGCUGGGACAAGGUUCACCACAAUGAUGCGUCCGAUUUGCUCAAAAGGUUUAUCCGGGAGCUGCCGGCACCUCUGCUCACUACUGAGUACCUGCCGGCCUUCGCCGUGGUGCCCAACAUCCCUGACCUGAGGCAGCGCCUGCAGGCCCUCCACCUGCUCAUCCUGAUUCUCCCGGAACCCAACAGGAACGCCCUGAAGGCACUCCUGGAAUUCCUCAGGAAGGUGGUGGCCCAGGAGCAGAGCAACAAGAUGACACUGUGGAAUGUUUCCACGGUAAUGGCCCCUAAUCUCUUCCUUCACCGAGGGCAGCCCCCCAAACUCCUCAAGGGCAGAGAGAAGCAGCUGGCAGAGGGGGCCGCCGAGGUGGUACAGAUGAUGGUGCACUACCAGGAUCUGCUCUGGAUGGUCUCCUCUUUCUUGGUCGCCCAGGUGCGAAACCUGAACGACAGCAGUAGCAGGCGCCCCCAGCUCUGCGACGCGGGCCUCAAAACCUGGCUGCGAAGGACACACGCAGACAGGGACAAGGCGGGGGAUGGCCCCGAGGCGACUCCCACAGUGGCAAAGAUCCAGGUGGCCUGGCUUAUCAAAGAUACCCUGGAGGUGCCCCUGACCCCCAGCACCAAAGUGGCUCAUGUCCUCAGGCAGUUCACAGGGCGCCUCAGCCCUGGUUUACAGGGUCAAGAGGGCAAUGAGGACAAGGACAACCUCCUCCCACGCAGCAGGUUGAGGAAGUCAGCCGACAUCGUCCUCUGCGAAGUUGGAGGGAAUCUUAGCAUCUGACGUCAGCGGAGGGCAAUUCUGAGCCAGGGGUAGCUGUGAGCCACAGCAGCCAAGGUUCACACAGGUGAGCAUCGCCUGGACCCAGACGCCUACCUCUUAGAUCUGUACCGCGCCAACCCCUAUGGCGAGUGGGUCAUUAAACAGAGCCCCACCUAAGCCUGGACGGUACGGAGCAGCCCUGGAUGCCACAGCCCGCCCCCCGGGCGGUGUAGCCACCGAGGGAGCACAGCUGCUGAGGGGAGGUCUAGCUCCUCCUCCAGGCGUCUUCUCUGCAGCGCCCCUCAGGUCCUGGAAGCGCUCUGGCUGGCCGGCUCCUCCCCCCAGAGCCCUGGGAGGGAUGCUUUCAAGUAGCCCUACAGCGAAUGGGGGGCAGCCGGCGAGCUCUGUGGCCUUGGCCAGCCCCUUGCACUCUCUGAGCCCCCUGGAAAGUUGAAGGGGGUUGGGCCUCAGGCAGUGCAGGGCUGACACUGUGGCCAAGAACAGCCCCCGAGAACUGGAAAGAGAAAAACUGCCCUUCACAGCUUUCAGUGUAGCUUUGCACAAGCUUGUGAUUUUAUAAUAUUUAAAUUCUGUUGGAACAUUAAAGGCACAAGUUAAAUGUCA